UACCACUCUCCUAAAUGAGGUUAAAACACAUCAUGUGAACACAAAUAAUAUGUAGAUGUUAAAUUUUUUACAUAUAAUAAUGCUCUUUCUUCUUUUUUAUCACUCUCCUAAAUGAGGUUAAAACACACCAUGUUAACACCAAUAAUAUGUAGAUGUUAAAUUUUUACGUAUAAUGCUCCUUCUUCUUUUUUACCACUCUCCUAAAUGAGGUUAAAACAUACAUGUGAACACAAAUAAUAUGUAGAUGUUAAAUUUUUUACAUAUAAUAAUGCUCUUUCUUCUUUUUUAUCACUCUCCUAAAUGAGGUUAAAACAUACAUGUGAACACAAAUAAUAUGUAGAUGUUAAUGUUGUCACAUGAGAUUAAAACACACCAUGUGAACACCAUCGACUUUUCCUUCUUCUUUUCUUUUUAAAAAUAAUUAUGUACUAAAAGUGAUA
rnacentral:lncRNA from 1 species